CAGUAGGUAAUAUUGGUUUCAUGUCCGAUAGUAAUUAUUAUGUUGUACUCCAUUUUAGUCACGCUAUUACCCGACAAUAUGUAUGUAGGUAGAUGCAAAGCUGUGGUUAUUAUACUCGUAAAAGCUUUUAGUAACUCAUCGUAUUAACUCCCAACUCUAAAAUUAAUCACGCAAAUCAUAAGAGGGUUCCGUUUACUAUUAAAAGAUCCUUCAGCAUAUUAUAGCCAUGUAGAGGGUAUUAUUUCCAAUUGCCUCACUUCAAUGGAGGGCAGAGUAAUUUGCCAGCAUACAUUUUACCUAUUAUUCAGGGUUCGAACCAGCGACUGGCGUAUCUGUGGGCGUCAGUGGGCGUAGUACAAGUUUGGUACGCAAAUCACCAGGCGUGUCCUGUGUCGUUACUCGUUGCCCUAAACUUUAAAGGAAUACGUCGCAAUGUUGUAAAACCAUUGAAUUAGGGGAAUAUUGAAUCCUUUAUAUCAAUAAGGAUCUCUAAAAGCGGCAUGUAAUUAUGUUGUAGGUAUUAGAUAGAAUCGAAAAGCUACAUAUCGCAUAAUUGUAUCGCCUAUCAGAUGUUGGACAUACAAUCGUCACGGUAACUUUCUUUUAUGGUAACACGAAAUCAGUAAACAUCGGGCGUUCUAUUCAGUCAGAUUAUUUAGGAUAAGUAUGUGUCUAAACUAGAUUAUACAGUAGAAUCUUCGAUGGCGUUCGUUUACAGUUGCUGUUUUUGGUUUUCGUUAAGAUUGGGUGGAAUACUCAUUGGCAUAUUUUCAGUGUUUCAGGGACUGAUAGCUUUGGCCGGUAACUGUUAUGCUCAUACACACACAAAGCAACUCAAGGAACAAAUCACUUAUUGGACAAAUAAUUUUGAUUUAAUUAAUUUGGCACAUUAUUUAGAAUAUAUUAAAGAUGAUCCCGGAAAAUACACAUCUCUUGGCAUUACAAUUUCAUGCAUUUAUAUUAUUGUAUGCCUAUUAUUUAUUUAUGGAGCUUAUACGUGUAACAACACGCUGAUGAUUCCUUACAUGGUGAUGGAGACCACACGGCUCGUGUUGCUGUCCAUAUUGAUAGCUAAUUUUCUCUUCUUACUGAAACAGAACACUAUGGACAUUGGCCUUCUCAUCGGAGCCAGUGUGGGGUCAGGAUUUUUUCUUUUGGGAAUGUUUUAUUUAUGGGUAUGUGCCGUAAAUUUACCCAUAGUGGUAAACGAAAUAAAACUAGAUGAACAAGCGGCGACAAUACGCAAACUUAAACAAAUUCUAGAGAAUAGUAACCAGAGAACGUUUGCUGACACAGUUGAUAAUCUGCCGUAUGCUACUGAUUAUGGUCAGCCUCGUAAUAUGAUGUUCAUUGUGUCCAGAAACGGCUUGAUUAAGUCUUAAGUAAGAGAUUAAGAAUUACUUAAUCGAUAAUAACCUGUGAUAAGUGUGAAGGAACAUAAUAAAAAUUUCUAAAAGUUUC